rnacentral:lncRNA from 1 species
UUCUGAGUUGCAGCUAUACAGGGACCAACCUCCCUAACACUUUAUGGUGAAGGAGGAGCUUUUAUUAUUUUUGUAAAAUAUACAUAAUAUGAAAGCUAUCAUUUUUAUCUCUCUAAGUUGAUAGUUGAAUAGCAUUAAGUAAAUUCACGGGAAUGUGGGAUUAUGAUUCCCAUCCAUCACCAGAAUUCAUUUACUGUUUCAAACUGAAAUUCUAUACCCAAUAAACACUAAUUCUUCACUUCUCCCUCUCAUAGCCCUUGGCAACCACCAUGCUACUUUCCAUUGCUACCAACUUGAUGUCUCUAGGCAUAUAUAAGUAUAAGUAAAAUCGUGUAAUAUUUGUCUCUUGGCAACUGGGUUAUUUCUUUUUAUGUAAAAUCCUUGCAGGAUAUAUGUUCUGGCAAGUGCCACAGCUUUUAGUCUGAAUUAUGUUCCAUUUGUGUAUAGUAUGUGUUCAUGUAUGUUUGGGUGCAUUUCUUAACCAAAUGAUGACCUUAGGAGUUGUUCCUCAGGUAAUAUCCACCUUGUUUUUGAAGCAGGGUCUCUCACUUGAGAUCAAUAAUUUAGGCUAGUCUGUCUUGACAAUCAAUCUCAGGGCUCAACCUGUCUCCACCUCACCAGAGCUGGGAUUACGGGCAGAAAAUCAUAUGCCUGACUGGUGUUUUGGAGCUUUGUUUUGUGUGUGUGUGUGUGUGUGUGUGUGUGUGUGUGUGUGUGUGUGUGUGUGUGUGUGUGUUGGGGCCUGCCUGCAGUUCUCAUGUCUGGGUUCGAGCCUGGGAACUGAAAGAAAAGAGGGAAUCUAGGCCAGAAGAGAGAGAAAUGGAGUCAAGACAGUAUUCUGAUCAAGACUCAAAUGUUUAAUGAUAAUCUGUACUUUAUAAAGAGGGAAGCCCAUCCCUAGUCACGCCAAGUUCCUUGUGAAGUUGUCAGAAGUGCCUUUUAGCAGAAACUCUAGAAAAUCACAGUUCACCCUAACUCCAGAAGAUCUUGGAGAACCAGUUCUGCCUCAGGCAGAUUGCAGGCAGUGUAACAUCAAAGGAGAGUGAUGAGAAGCAGCACAGCAGGAGGCUCUGCUUCAGUGGCUGAUGGUCUGAACCAGACUGGUAGGCUGAAAGAAGGUUACCACCCCCUACCCACCCACUCCCAC